CUAACGUCUCAGUUCAGAUUGCAGGCUGCAACUCGCCUGCAUGAAGUCGGAAUUGCUAGUAAUCGCAGAUCAGCAUACUGCCGUGAAUACGUUCCCGGGCCUUGUACACACCGCCCGUCACACCAUGAGAGUUGGGAAUACCCGAAGCCUGUGAGCUAACGAAAGAGGCAGCAGUCGAAGGUAGAAUCAAUGAUUGGGGUAAAGUCGUAACAAGGUACC
rnacentral:rRNA from 1 species